CGGGACGGGUGAGUAAUGCCUGGGAAACUGCCUGAUGGAGGGGGAUAACUACUGGAAACGGUAGCUAAUACCGCAUAACGUCGCAAGACCAAAGAGGGGACCUUAGGGCCUCUUGCCAUCGGAUGUGCCCAGAUGGGAUUAGCUAGUAGGUGAGGUAACGGCUUACCUAGGCGACGAUCCCUAGCUGGUCUGAGAGGAUGACCAGCCACACUGGAACUGAGACACGGUCCAG
rnacentral:rRNA from 1 species